AGUAAUCCAAAUAACUCGAAAUAUAUAUUGCACCAGAGCCUCUACAGAUAGCUUAUUCAUAUAAUAGAAUCUCUACUAUAGGGGCUAGCUGUAGUAAAAUACUGAGAAACAUUCGUUGUUUGGGUAUAAAACAUAAAAACAAUACGUAAUCCAGGGGAUAAAACAAUUCGUUGAACAUGGAAGUAAGUUCCGUAUUGGCAGCGGAGCUCGAAGAGAUAGAUAGCUGAUAGCAUCAUCGACGGGGAGAGCCGGGUGAUUGUUGCUUAAGCGCCAAUCGUCGCCUCCGUCUCGCCGGG
rnacentral:lncRNA from 1 species